rnacentral:rRNA from 1 species
AUUGAACGCUGGCGGCAGGCCUAACACAUGCAAGUCGAGCGGAUGAAGGGAGCUUGCUCCUGGAUUCAGCGGCGGACGGGUGAGUAAUGCCUAGGAAUCUGCCUGGUCGUGGGGGAUAACGUCCGGAAACGGGCGCUAAUACCGCAUCCGUCCUGAGGGAGAAAGUGGGGGAUCUUCGGACCUCACGCUAUCAGAUGUGCCUAGGUCGGAUUAGCUAGUUGGUGGGGUAAAGGCCUACCAAGGCGACGAUCCGUAACUGGUCUGAGAGGAUGAUCAGUCACACUGGAACUGAGACACGGUCCAGACUCCUACGGGAGGCAGCAGUGGGGAAUAUUGGACAAUGGGCGAAAGCCUGAUCCAGCCAUGCCGCGUGUGUGAAGAAGGUCUUCGGAUUGUAAAGCACUUUAAGUUGGGAGGAAGGGCAGUAAGUUAAUACCUUGCUGUUUUGACGUUACCAACAGAAUAAGCACCGGCUAACUUCGUG